GAUCAUGGCUCAGGAUGAACGCUAGCUACAGGCUUAACACAUGCAAGUCGAGGGGCAGCAUGGUCUUAGCUUGCUAAGGCCGAUGGCGACCGGCGCACGGGUGAGUAACACGUAUCCAACCUGCCGUCUACUCUUAGACAGCCUUCUGAAAGGAAGAUUAAUACAAGAUGGCAUCAUGAGUCCGCAUGUCCACAUGAUUAAAGGUAUUCCGGUAGACGAUGGGGA
rnacentral:rRNA from 1 species